GGGGCCGACCUGGUUUCGACGUGGGUGCGGAUUCGGGACAGGGCAUGUCGAGGGCCAGGCACCUCGUAAAUCCAUCUGGAAAAAAACUAACUGCAAACGACGAAUCGUUCGCACUCGCCGCUUAAUACCGGUGAGCCUCGCAACAGUUGGCCGAUGGGCUGGGCUGUAGUCGCAAGACGAUAGCUGCGAGGUCAUUCACAUUGGCUGGGUUCCUGCCGGGUCACUCGGUAGGGAUCGAGAUUAAGUGACUGGCUGGCCUGGUAGCGUGCUGCUGCGCGAUCAGGUCGGUGAGAUUCAAAUCAGACAGCUACACAUGUAGAUCUGCUCGAUGAUGGCUUACGGACGGGGGUUCAAUUCCCCCCGGCUCCACCA
rfam:Aquabacterium sp. NJ1 contig01, whole genome shotgun sequence.